rnacentral:rRNA from 1 species
UACGGAGGGGGCUAGCGUUGUUCGGAAUUACUGGGCGUAAAGCGCGCGUAGGCGGACCUGCAAGUCGGGGGUGAAAGCCCGAGGCUCAACCUCGGAACUGCCUUCGAUACUGCGGGUCUCGAGUCCGGGAGAGGUGAGUGGAAUUCCUAGUGUAGAGGUGAAAUUCGUAGAUAUUAGGAAGAACACCAGUGGCGAAGGCGGCUCACUGGCUCGGUACUGACGCUGAGGCGCGAAAGCGUGGGGAGCAAACAGG